UUGGCUAAACACACCUGAUCCAGUUAAUCAGCACCAGAUAAGGCAGGAUUUCUGGAAAACCAGAAGGAGGCAUACCCUCAAGGCCUGGAGUUUGACACCCCUGCUCUAAAC
rnacentral:snoRNA from 1 species